GUAGUCAUAUGCUUGUCUCAAAGAUUAAGCCAUGCAUGUCUAAGUAUAAGCAAUCUAUACAGUGAAACUGCGAAUGGCUCAUUAAAUCAGUUAUCGUUUAUUUGAUAGUACCUUACUACUUGGAUAACCGUGGUAAUUCUAGAGCUAAUACAUGCUAAAAACCCCGACUUCGGAAGGGGUGUAUUUAUUAGAUAAAAAACCAAUGCUCUUCGGGGCUCCUUGGUGAUUCAUAAUAACUUAACGAAUCGCAUGGCCUUGUGCCGGCGAUGGUUCAUUCAAAUUUCUGCCCUAUCAACUUUCGAUGGUAGGAUAGUGGCCUACCAUGGUUUCAACGGGUAACGGGGAAUUAGGGUUCUAUUCCGGAGAGGGAGCCUGAGAAACGGCUACCACAUCCAAGGAAGGCAGCAGGCGCGCAAAUUACCCAAUCCCGACACGGGGAGGUAGUGACAAUAAAUACUGAUACAGGGCUCUUUUGGGUCUUGUAAUUGGAAUGAGUACAAUUUAAAUCCCUCAACGAGGAACAAUUGGAGGGCAAGUCUGGUGCCAGCAGCC
rnacentral:rRNA from 1 species